rnacentral:rRNA from 1 species
GAUUGAACGCUGGCGGCAGGCCUAACACAUUCAAGUCGAACGGUAACAGGAAACAGCUUGCUGUUUCGCUGACGAGUGGCGGACGGGUGAGUAAUUUCUGGGAAACUGCCUGAUGGAGGGGGAUAACUACUGGAAACGGUAUCUAAUACCGCAUAACGUCGCAAGACCAAAGAGGGGGACCCUCGGGCCUCUUGCCAUCGGAUGUGCCCAGAUGGGAUUAGCUUGUUGGUGGGGUAACGGCUCACCAAGGCGACGAUCCCUAGCUGGUCUGAGAGGAUGACCAGCCACACUGGAACUGAGACACGGUCCAGACUCCUACGGGAGGCAGCAGUGGGGAAUAUUGCACAAUGGGCGCAAGCCUGAUGCAGCAAUGCCGCGUGUAUGAAGAAGGCCUUCGGGUUGUAAAGUACUUUCAGCGGGGAGGAAGGGAGUAAAGUUAAUACCUUUGCUCAUUGACGUUACCCGCAGAAGAAGCACCGGCUAACUCCGUG